GGGCUUGUGGCGCAGCUGGUAGCGCGCCGCUCUGGCAGAGCGGAGGUCCCCGGUUCGAACCCGGGCAGGUCCA
rnacentral:tRNA from 1 species